ACCUACGAAAAGAUAAACCACCUUCGUCAUAAACAUACCACCUUCAUCACAACAGGGGAAGAGGGCGAAUAGAAGCAGGACGACGAGACGACGCACGUCCACCGUCUUCCUGACGAAGACGUUGUCACGCAGGUGUGGGUCGCCUAGUAGGGUAUACCUCUUCUCCCUCGUCGCACACACGUAGGCGCCGUAGGGGAGAAGAAACUUUCCUCCGGGGGGGAGGAAAAAGUCGGACACGUUGAAUAUUCUCGAGCAGUACGACGCGAAUGAUCGGCGGCGCUGUGAUUAGCGCGCGCCUGCGAAAUAUUUUUUUUCAAUGAGGAAGGAAGCGUAACGGGGUUUGAGCUACGCAUAAAAAAAUACUUGUCUGAUGCGUUUAUGGUAUAACUGUACAAAACGACGGAAGGACGUGAGAGUGUCUAUUCAACGGCCAUCGAGAAAAGGUAUCGACACACGCCAUUUAACACUUUCUUUCUCUCCUCCUCUUUCUCCCUCUCUCUCUCUCUCUCUCUCUCUCUCUUUCUCUCUCGCGCGCACAGUAAAAUAUUCCGCGAAUAUAUGAAAAAGCGGUCGGUGUGGGCGAUCGUCCGUGUUAAGGAAGAAAGAAACGUGCGUGUUCCUCCGAGGUAGUCGCCGACAUCGCAAUAAUAGCAACGAUGGUUGUACCACUUUGUCGUAGCGAUUCGCAUAUACUCUCUCGCGAACGACAACUAUUUACAUUCUUUCACCGUAGCCGCGCGUCCGCUCGUGUUCUCUCUUGCCGGUUUAAUGGAAGGAUCAAUUUUGGAAGGGCGUCACUUCUGAGCUGGCUUCCGAAAGCCGGACGUUGCGACGUAUUUCCCAGGAGGUAGAAAAUAUCUCUCCUUUAUUUUCCCCCCGACACUUCUGCGUCUCGUUCACGGGUCUUCCUUCCCUUUUCAUUCGACCGAGUCACCUCCGGUCAUCCGUACACGCUUCGUCGUUUUUCUCACUUUCGACGCCGCUAAUAAAGACCGACACUAAUAAGCUACGCACGGCGUUCGGUAGUUCAGAGACCCGCACUUCGAUGAUGCGAACGAUUAUCUGCCACCUUAUCCAACUCUCCUCUACCGUUCUUCCUCUGUUGACUUUCAGAAAUCCUUCUUCAUUCUUGUCUGUGGACCUGUUCUCGUAGCAAUUAUCUGGACUCUUUCUUCCUGUGAUUCCACGACCAUCCCAUAUUUUUCGCGCGUACCACGCUCCAAGCCGAGAGCCCUCACGACAAAGCUUCCACCGAGCUUUGCCGCGCGAGACGUUGACCCUGGACCCGGCGCUAGCCACGGUUCCGGCUCGCGUUACAUCCUCCAGGUAACCGAGUGUAAUUGUUCUUCUCCGUUUUCCCGCGGCUUCCGCCGACCGAAUGGACUUUUCAUUUUCCACCCGGUGCUCCUGGUCUUCGUGUUAUUUCCCCUUUUUCUUUUGAUUCCUCGUUAAAGAAAGUAUAUGACGUAAUUCCGCUAAUGCUGGAAGUUCAAAAGUAGAAUAACUGGUUUUUGGGGAGGGGACUAACUGAUGCUGCGACACGAUCCUUUUUUCCCGUGGAGCAAUGGCAAGGCGUUGCGAAACGUGCGGGACGCGCUCCUCGAUUUUCGCCGAGAAAAUGCGAACGAUCCUGUUUAAUCGAACGGAACCCGGCAGAGAGUCGGAUAGAGAAAUCUUGCGAGAAAGGAACGAGACGGAGGAUUGCGAUUAACAGUAGCUCGCGUGAUGAUAUUUAUACGGCAGUUUUAUAGACCGCGGUUCGUUGCACUCGCGACUACGGGCUCCUUCGAAUCUUAUUUCGUGCUACCUUCUUCGCCGCACGCGACGUUACAUUCUCACCAUCCGAUCGUUGAGGGUAUAUUUUCCACGGUGUUUUCCGCUGCAUUUGUGUGUCUUUCGGCGGGCUCCUCGACGCACCUCUCGUCUCUUGUAUUCAACAACAGCGCCGUGCUCAACGUCAACGAGAGAGGUUAAUCCAAUUUCUCGAAUUUGCGAAUGUUCACGUUCCUGACCACUGUCCUUCCCAUUCCUGUCGUUUGAUUUUUCGGGCUGCAACCACGUAAAUUUUUUAACAGACCUUUCAGCGGCUAUCUGUACGCAUUUGCGUGCUCGUCUCUCACAGCGUUAAAACUCUAAAUAAUGCCGUGUGUUGUGUGCGUUUCUCUUGUGCAAAAGGCAAGCGCCAAAUCCUCUUCAGGGAGGUUCGUCUUCAUAGAAGUUUCACGUUUUCGGAUAUCAAGGGAAGGACCCGAGCGAACGCGAACCUCGGAUUCCUAUCGCGUACUCGCGACUCAAUUAUAAAUUACUCCGGCGAGCGUACGAGAUCCCGCGUUAAGGGUAGUUUUCUGAACGCGCGCUGCGGCCUGACUGACUCACCCCCAUGCCCCCCGACGAUACCCCCUACCCUGCUCGUCCACCACCGACAUUCCUGACGCAGGCGCGUCGCCCCUCCUGGCCUCGAGAUCGCCGUAUGUACAUGUACGAAUUCGCGCCAGACCAGAUUUUACGACGAUCGGGAGAUGCUCCUAGUUCUUCUUUCUCUUGCUUUUUUUUCUUCACUGGACUGAAGUCGUGAGUUACGAGCGACUUUAUGCAUUCCAAGACGUCGGAACGUAAAGUACGGGAGAAUCUGUCGGCCUUCGAUAUUUUUCAAUAUCCUUCGCGGCGCCUCUAUCAAAGUUUCAUCUCGUCUACUAGUAUUCUUGUUAAAAUGAUAAUAAAAAAAUAAUUUUCUCUUGCUGAAGUGAGCAACGGCUCUGAGAGUGUUUCUCAAAAUUGAUCGUAAAUCAUCACGAAUCGUUAAUAACACUGUAACGUGAGAGAGAGAGAGAGAGAGAGAGAGAGAGAGAGAGAGAGAGAGAGACAGACAGACAAGAGCGAGAGGCGCGGGAGUGAUUCGGAGAGCUGGAGAACGGGGGCAAGGUAGCCGCGAGUUAGGUAGGGGGUUGGUUUCGGCGUUGGUUUAAAAGCGACGCAUGCGUCUCUCGCGUAGGGGGAUGUUCGGGGUGAGCUGCCGUACUCUGGCCAACGUAUCGCAGUUUCUGACUUGAUGUUUGUCCGCGUGGUACUCCCAGGGAUGGCUGUGCCCGUGGCAACCCACGAGGGUGCAAGCUGAACGUACUCGAAGGGACAUCUCGCGCAAAAGAAAGAUAAGAUAAAGCAGACAGGUGGCAGAAGCGAUGGAUCGAAGAGAAAGAGAGAAAGCGAAAAGACGAGUGAAAGAAAGGAAAAAGCUGAGAGAGAUGAAAAGAGGGAAAACACGCGGCAAAGGAGGAAUUAUCGAUACAGCACGGUGACGGCGAUCUGCCACGCUUGCGCCUUCUUGCUUCGAGAAAUAGUCCGGGCCUUUCCCUUCUUUCUUUUGCACCGACACUUGGACUCUGCGUCGUCCAGUCGCGGAACUCAAGAGACCCCUGGGAGUUUACAUAGAAGUCGGACUCGAUGGGACCGAACGUUUUUUUCAACAGGUAAGCAACCCAGACCUGUGGAGAGGCUUUCGAGAGUUAUGAAAAGAGAGAACACACAGGCACCCGGGUGAGAUGGGAUACAACGAGGAAAGAGACGAAUCGCAGGUCGGGAAAAGAGAAUGGGAGAAGUAACGCUUCGUGUUCCAGCGAGGCAGGAUGCGCCGGCGAAAGGAAGUCGAUGGGAUAUAUCGCUGCGGAAGUGGAAUAGUAUGCGCAUGGACGGACGUACGAACUGUGCAGAACGUCGGAAUUGGAACGUCAUAUGGCUUGGAUCCCACCAAGAUUUUAUAUUGCGAUCACCCCUAUCGUCCCGAUCGUUUUUAUCUAAACCAAUUCUAUUCGUACUAUUCUUAUCGCACUCCUAUCGGCCGCUGCUACUUUACUUACGCCUUACUCGUUUGUCAUACAUCUCACUCUUUCUCACGCGAUCAAUAUCGUUGACAAUAAACCGAUCAAACUAACCAUUUUACCCGUUACUCUUUCUGCCAUAAAGUCAGAAACUGUUUUCACUUAUUUAUUUUUUUCAUUAACGUUAUCGAGACAUUAUCAAAUAUUAUACGGAUAUUUAAAUUUUAUUAAUAGAUCAACUUUCUUCAUUGAUAUCCAUCCUUUCUUUACUACAAUAAAGUAUCAUUUCUUUAAACAUCAGCCAAUUAUCGACUGUAACAAAGUCAAAUAUAAAUGGAAUUUAGCAUCAAAUGGAUAAAUGAAAUUUAAUGUCGGGAAACUUUUUCCUCAUUUAAAUUGUUCAUAAUAUUUAAAUCGUUGUUUUUUGUGUGUCGACGUGCCGUCACAAAUUAUAUGAGACAGUCAACGAAAAUACAAUACACACAUACACAUACACACAGUGAAUCAAUUAUCUGUUGGCAAAAUAAUUUCUACGAGAACGGAUAUUUAGCGUUAAAAUAAUUUUAUUAAAUUUAAGCAAAAGAUUGCUUUGCAAAAAUAGCUGACUUACCGAUAUUCUCUUAAAACGCCUUUAAAAAAAUAUCGACAAAUUGGAUUUCAAAGUUUAAUCCGUCAUGCUGCGUUAUUUCACUUUUACAAUGCUAUUCGGAUUGAUUUCGACGCUUCGUUUUAGAAUGACAUAAACGCCUCGUAUGCACCUCGUAUCGACGCGGCUGUUAUCGCAACGUAUUUUUCAUAUUCGGCGGCAAAUCCGCGACGCAUUGUUUAGGCCGAUUGACGCAAUCGACACUUCUCGUUGCCGUUUACUGUAUAAUUCCGUCGUCUUUUUCUACCGAAAAUGUGCUAUUAUACAAUCAUCGUGCCAUAUUUUAAUGACAAAUUCUAAAAAAUUUAAGUACAAAAUCUUAAAUGGUCACGAUAAAAAUUUUCACGAUUGCUACGUGAAUGUUAUCGCACCGGUCUUUUAAUAGCGUUACGAGUGCCGUGGAUAUAUCCGUUAAUGAACUAUUUGCCCAUGUUUCGGGCAAUUCGUAAAAUACGUUACGCUCAGCAGCACGUGAUUCUAGUUUCUUUAUCCCCGUUAAUUCGUCCCGGCGACGGGUUACGCAACGGGCCGAAAAACCAGGCACGGCGGCAUUAAUUGGUACGGGCACGAAAAUGUAAUGUUUUGCGAUAAUUGGCCGGGUGGAUACAGGUUUUCGGCGAUUUUUCGCAUGGCAACGCGUGCACGCUGCAAUCGGGAAUCGAUAAGUCGCAGCUCCGUUGCGAUAAUCGUCCCUCCGCUUUCCACGCUAUGUGCAGCUCGCGCGGCGCACCGUAUUAAAUUGAGUGCAGUGGAACAAGCGUUAAGAAGUCUAACGACUCGCAUGCUGGACACAGAAGUACUAAAUCACGUUGAUGUUAAAAUCAUACACCAUCGUGCAAAACACGUUUCGUUAUAUUCUUCAAUGUAUUCUCUCUCACUCUCCGGAAUAACUCAUGCGUGAUUUAGAACCGGACCGCGCGUAUAGACGUACGAAAAUAUAGAUAGUACGAAAUACUAAGACCAUACAAUAUUUUGUUGUAACUGCUGUCUGCAUGAAAAUAUCGUGUCUCGUCUUUCUAUAUAGCGGUAAUAGAAAAUUUAAUGAGUUCUUCAUCUGCAAAAUGUAUUCUCAUAAUAAUCUUAAUGGUAUUUACGAUUUUAAGCCAUGGAAACGAUCAAUGUAGAAUAGUAGACUUGAUUGGAUACACGUAGAUACGAAGGUAAUACAUGUUGCGCAUACUAAGCUACAUGUGGAUAAAGAUUACCAAUUCCAGCAGAGCAUCACGUACACUCGAUACAAGUAAUGACACUUAUAAAAUAUCAGUCUCACCGUUUCAGAAUAAAUUCAGAAUAAAUUGUUAAUAAAUACUGAAUGUUGUUAAAAUUGGAAAAAGCACUCUGUUUCGCGAUGUCAAUUUCGAAAAUUACUGUAUAAUAUUAAAGCAAAAAUUGAUUUUGUGCUCUACUUAAAAUAUUUGCUACCGCAUUUAUUACUUGGCUUGUUUUAUUUUGUUUAUUAUUAUCGCGAGAAUCAGAGAAUUGGAAUUUUCAUUAAAUUUAUUUCACAGAAAGCUUAUUUUUUUGAAUUGCUUCACAUUUAUCCUCCACACUGUCCUCUUGUCAUUUUGAAAUUCUACUUUUAUCCAUCUCUUUAAAUUUAUCGUGACAAUUAUGCUCGACGUGCACUGUGAGAAAUAAAAAUCCGAUCUUCAUCGGUUCUUCUUUUAUUAAUCUCGUUAUCUUAUGUUACAUUCAAAUCAAACUGCUAUUCAAUUCGAAAGAUGUUAAAUAUCGGAGUGGAUCGAAGUGUUACGUGUCAUGUUCAGGAUUAUAUAAUUCCCACGUACAAACACAUGUAACACGAUCAUAACACGGCAUAAAGAUGUUCAUAUUUUCGACGUUGUCUCGCGGUUCGGCGCUCCGCGCUUUGAUCGCAAAACGCAAUUAAGCAAACCGUGCGUUAAAUCGAUUGUUGUUCAGUUCGUUAGGUACGGUGUAAAACAUGGCAAAUCAGGCCAGCCGCGAUUCGACCGAACUUCCAUUUAUACGUAAUAAUGGCGCCGGCGGCUAUCGAACUUUCGAAAUUUGAAGGUAGCCGCCGCUGUGCAAUAUAUGGAAUAUCCGUCCGAAAGUUUCCGUUCGGCUUGACGGCGGCUUUGAUCAUGGCCCAGUGCACGCGCGCGCGCACGUCGGAAAUCCAGGCGUAUGUACUACGGAUCGCUUUCGUUCGUUGUAUUUUUUCGAAUCGCUCCCGCACGCGGGCAGGCAGCGGAGGCAGCUGCCGGCGCGACGCGUUUGGUCGGAGCGACUAUAUCCACCGGCAGGAGAGUAAAAGUAUGAAUGGAAUAUUUAUGGGCGGCUUAAAAAUUUCACGAGCAGCAGGUCGUGGCGCUCGUAGUACGUAAUUUUCUUUCGUUCGCGACAUUUAUCUUUAUCUAGCACGCGGCGAGCGUCGGCGCGAACCACGAAAGGCAACGUGAAUCCGCGAGUUACCACCGUUUUCCUCUGCCACGCCGCCGUUCAGCCGAAAACGGAUUUUCGUGUGGGUGUUUUCCCUUUAAUAAUUCUCGAGAGCAGAGGUCGUGCGAGAGAGAGAGAGUGGAAGGGAAGGAAAACGGAACUCGUCGCGAACGAAAAGUAAGCAAGUCGUGGUAAGGAGAAACGCGAUUCGCAAGAAGAAGGAUGGAAGAAGCGGCGUUCUGUACCGAGAGAGAGGAGGAGGAGGAGAUGGAGGAGGAAGCUUUUAUUUUUCUUACACUGUCGUCUCUCUUCUCGCAGCACGAGUGGUGCACACCAAAACGGGACGAAAACUCUGGCGAGCUUCUAGUGCGGUCUUUACGAGAGCAAUGGGGCGAAGGGUUCUCUUUACGAGAAGAUUGGACGAAGGAGGGUCCUUUGGAAGACUUCGACGCCUGGCAUCUACAAGAAAUCCGUUUCUCACACGAGUCCCGAUUAUCGAUUAUCUCCGGAUGGGUGGAAACGAACGGUGCAAUGCUCGACGUCCCGUGAGAAAAAGAAUCGUUGUUAGAGACCAAGAGACGACUAAACGAUACACAGAGGUAAUUACUCGAGAGAAAUGAACAUCAAAGAUGAAGAUAAAGAAAGAGCUAAUCAACGACGAGUUAACGAGAUGAGCAAGGGAAGAAGUUAGAUUUUUAUUUUCUCAUAGUGCACGUCGAGGUAUCUAUCCGGAAGGUAUUUAUAACGGCAGAGUCGCAAAUUAAUCUGUUUACAACGGAUAGUAUUUUAUCGAAAAGUGUAUGAGAGUUGAAAAAGUAAAGUCAGCAAUUUAAACUUGAUAGCACAGAUAAGGGACAAGGGAAAUAUUUGCUGGUUUGUACUUCUUGUAAUUACGCGGAAAGUUACACUCCAUUAAGAGCACGACAUUUCUGCUCAUUACAAAUUAGAUCUUGCGCGUUGCACUCGACAUCUAAAAAUUCAUUCAUGAAGAGGGCUGAAAAGAUAGCGAAUUAUAUGAAAGCGCGUGUUGGUGCGCGUCAUUCCUGUCUGCUUCGGUGAAAUUAUAAGGCUUUCUACCACUCACGCGAGAAACCAUUUUUCAUGCUUCGUUGUCGUUGAUGAACCUUUUUUACGGCUGUAAUCCCAGGGUAAGCACGAGGGAACAAAAAUGCUUAACGAUGCUCCGGGAAGAUGGACUUUUUCGAACUCUUUGACGUUUCUCUAAAUUAACCACAGAAUCCUCUUUUGCCCGCUUCUCAUUUCAACCAUUCUCCCGAACGAAGAGCGUACGGACUUCAAUUGGACCCCGACGAUAUUACCUGUCGGAGAAGUUUUUUUCUCCCCCCCUCCCGAAAUUGUAACAUU